rnacentral:rRNA from 1 species
UACGGAGGGUGCAAGCGUUGUCCGGAAUCAUUGGGCGUAAAGCGCGCGUAGGCGGCCCUGUAAGUCCGUUGUGAAAGUCAAAGGCUCAACCUUUGAAAGCCGAUGGAUACUGCAGGGCUAGAGUCCGGAAGAGGCGAGUGGAAUUCCUGGUGUAGCGGUGGAAUGCGCAGAUAUCAGGAGGAACACCGGUGGCGAAGGCGGGUCUCUGGGCAACAACUGACGCUGAGGAGCGAAAGCGUGGGGAGCGAACAGG